CGGAGGGCGCGAGCGUUACCCGGAUUUACUGGGCGUAAAGGGACGUGUAGGCGGCGUUGGGGCGGUCCCACUGUGAAAGGACCACGGCUCAACCGUGGAGGAGCGUGGGAUACGCUCAGGCUAGAGGGUGGGAGAGGGUGGUGGAUUCCCGGAGUAGCGGUGAAAUGCGCAGAUACCGGGAGGGAACGCCGAUGGCGAAGGCAGCCACCUGGUCCACUUCUGACGCUGAGGCGCGAAAAGCGUUGGGGAGCAAACCGGAUU
rnacentral:rRNA from 1 species